rnacentral:rRNA from 1 species
CCUACGGGAGGCAGCAGUAGGGAAUCUUCCGCAAUGGACGAAAGUCUGACGGAGCAACGCCGCGUGAACGAAGAAGGCCUUCGGGUGGUAAAGUUCUGUUGUUAGGGAAGAACAAGUACCAGAGUAACUGCUGGUACCUUGACGGUACCUAACCAGAAAGCCACGGCUAACUACGUGCCAGCAGCCGCGGUAAUACGUAGGUGGCAAGCGUUGUCCGGAAUUAUUGGGCGUAAAGCGCGCGCAGGUGGUUCUUUAAGUCUGAUGUGAAAGCCCACGGCUCAACCGUGGAGGGUCAUUGGAAACUGGGGAACUUGAGUGCAGAAGAGGAAAGUGGAAUUCCAAGUGUAGCGGUGAAAUGCGUAGAGAUUUGGAGGAACACCAGUGGCGAAGGCGACUUUCUGGUCUGUAACUGACACUGAGGCGCGAAAGCGUGGGGAGCAAACAGGAUUAGAUACCCCAGUAGUC